UACAGAGGGUGCGAGCGUUGUUCGGAAUUAUUGGGCGUAAAGGGCGCGUAGGCGGUGCGGUAAGUCACCUGUGAAAUCUCCUGGCUCAACUGGGAGCUUGCAGGCGAAACUGCCGUGCUGGAGUGUGGGAGAGGUGCGUGGAAUUCCCGGUGUAGCGGUGAAAUGCGUAGAUAUCAGGAAGAACACCCGUGGCGAAAGCGGCUCUCUGGGACGGUACUGACGCUGAGACGCGAAAGCGUGGGGAGCGAACAGG
rnacentral:rRNA from 1 species